AUUGAACGCUGGCGGCAUGCUUUACACAUGCAAGUCGAACGGUAACAGGCCGCAAGGUGCUGACGAGUGGCGAACGGGUGAGUAAUGCAUCGGAACGUGCCCAGUCGUGGGGGAUAACUAUCCGAAAGGAUAGCUAAUACCGCAUACGAUCUGCGGAUGAAAGCGGGGGACCUUCGGGCCUCGCGAGAUUGGAGCGGCCGAUGUCAGAUUAGGUAGUUGGUGGGGUAAAGGCUCACCAAGCCAACGAUCUGUAGCUGGUCUGAGAGGACGACCAGCCACACUGGGACUGAGACACGGCCCAGACUCCUACGGGAGGCAGCAGUGGGGAAUUUUGGACAAUGGGCGCAAGCCUGAUCCAGCAAUGCCGCGUGCAGGAAGAAGGCCUUCGGGUUGUAAACUGCUUUUGUACGGAACGAAACGGCUCUGGUUAAUACCUGGGGCUAAUGACGGUACCGUAAGAAUAAGCACCGGCUAACUACGUGCCAGCCGCCGCCGUAAUAC
rnacentral:rRNA from 1 species